UUUUUAAGCAUGUAGGAAGAAUGAGUAGGCAAAUCCGCUCAUUCAUAUUCUGAGAUGUGAUGACGAUCUUAUAUUCGUAUAAGAGAAGUAGUUGAUGCUAAGCUUCCAGGAAAAUCCUCUAAGUGUUGAAGAUCAUCGAACCGUACCGCAAUCCGACACAGGUGGACAAGUUGAGAAUACUGAGGCGCUUGAGAGAACUCGGGUGAAGGAACUAGGCAAAUUGACACCGUAACUUCGGGAGAAGGUGUGCCUCUAUUAGGUGAAGGCCCUGCGGCUGGAGCUGAAGGAGGUUGCAAAAAAUCGGUGGCUGCGACUGUUUAUUAAAAACACAGCACUCUGCAAACUCGAAAGGGGAAGUAUAGGGUGUGACGCCUGCCCGGUGCCGGAAGGUUAAGUGAUGGGGUUAGCGCAAGCGAAGCUCUUGAUCGAAGCCCCGGUAAACGGCGGCCGUAACGAUAACGGUCCUAAGGUAGCGAAAUUCCUUGUCGGGUAAGUUCCGACCUGCACGAAAGGCGUAACGAUAGCCACACUGUCUCCACCCGAGACUCAGUGAAGUUGAAUUUGCUGUGAAGAUGCAGUGUACCCGCGGCAAGACGGAAAGACCCCGUGCACCUUUACUAUAGCUUUGCACUGGACUUUGAGCGUUUCUGUUAGGACGUGGGAGGCUAUGAAACUUGGGCGCUAGCUCAGGUGGAGCCAACCUUGAAAUACCACCCUGAAAUGCUUGGGGCUCUAACUUAAUCUCGUAAUCCGGGAUGAGGACAGUGCAUGGUGGGUAGUUUGACUGGGGCGGUCUCCUCCCAAAGAGUAACGGAGGAGUACGAAGGUACACUCAGCGCGGUCGGACAUCGCGCAAUGCCUAUAAGAGGAAAAGUGUGCUUGACUGCGAGACUGACAGGUCGAGCAGGUACGAAAGUAGGUUCUAGUGAUCCGGUGGUUCUGUAUGGAAGGGCCAUCGCUCAACGGAUAAAAGGUACGCCGGGGAUAACAGGCUGAUACCGCCCAAGAGUUCAUAUCGACGGCGGUGUUUGGCACCUCGAUGUCGGCUCAUCACAUCCUGGGGCUGAAGCCGGUCCCAAGGGUAUGGCUGUUCGCCAUUUAAAGUGGUACGCGAGCUGGGUUUAGAACGUCGUGAGACAGUUCGGUCCCUAUCUGCCGUGGGCGUUUGAGAUUUGAGGGGAGUUGCUCCUAGUACGAGAGGACCGGAGUGAACGUACCUCUGGUGUUCCGGUUGUCACGCCAGUGGCAUUGCCGGGUAGCGGUACGGAAAAGAUAACCGCUGAAAGCAUCUAAGCGGGAAGCUUGCCCCAAGAUGAGAUCUCACGAGUCUUAUGACUCCUGUAGGUCCGUUGGAGACCACAACGUUGAUAGGCUGGGUGUGAAAGCACAGUAAUGUGUGUAGCUAACCAGUACUAAUUGACCGUGCGACUUGACCAU
rnacentral:rRNA from 1 species